rnacentral:snRNA from 1 species
GUACUAGUCUUCUAGCACAUGUACUAAAACUGGAAUGAUACAGAGAAGAUUAGCAUGGCCCCUGGUGCAAGGAUGACACGCAAACUCGUGAAGCAUUCCUAUUUUUC